UUAAACACAAACUAAAAACAUAAAAGAUCAACAAAAAAAGUACUCCAUCUAAUGAGAGAUAAUUAUCGUUUAAUAUACACAAUUUACAAAAGAGCUACUAAUAGCGUCAUGCUUU